AGUGAACGCUGGCGGUAGGCCUAACACAUGCAAGUCGAACGGCAGCACAGUAAGAGCUUGCUCUUACGGGUGGCGAGUGGCGGACGGGUGAGGAAUACAUCGGAAUCUACUUUUUCGUGGGGGAUAACGUAGGGAAACUUACGCUAAUACCGCAUACGACCUACGGGUGAAAGCAGGGGAUCAUCGGACCUUGCGCGAUUGAAUGAGCCGAUGUCGGAUUAGCUAGUUGGCGGGGUAAAGGCCCACCAAGGCGACGAUCCGUAGCUGGUCUGAGAGGAUGAUCAGCCACACUGGAACUGAGACACGGUCCAGACUCCUACGGGAGGCAGCAGUGGGGAAUAUUGGACAAUGGGCGCAAGCCUGAUCCAGCCAUACCGCGUGGGUGAAGAAGGCCUUCGGGUUGUAAAGCCCUUUUGUUGGGAAAGAAAAACAGCAGGUUAAUACCCCGCUGUUCUGACGGUACCCAAAGAAUAAGCACCGGCUAACUUCGUG
rnacentral:rRNA from 1 species